UUUGAAUUCAAUUUCAUCAAAAUCGGACGACUAUAUCAUAUAGCUGUCAUAGGAACGAUCGGAAAAUUGAUGGGAAAAUAAUAUGAAACAAAUUAUAGCUUUGGGGCUUUUUGACAUAUCUUAUAAUAUUGGGAAUAUAAUUUUUUAUAUUUUUAAGAAUUUUGAAUUCAAUUUUAUAAAAAUCGGACUACUUUAACAUAUAGAUUUUACAUCUAUAUGGUCUAAAAAAAGAAUUAAAUUAUUGUUUUUUAAUAUCACUGAAGUCAGCAAGAAUCCUUAUAAAUUUCACAUGGUGUUACUAAAGUUGAUUAUUUUAUAUAACUGCAAGGGUAUACAAACUUCGGCUUGCUGAAGUCAACUUCCUUUCUUGUUAUUAUUUUCUUAACUCGAAUGAACUCAGUCAAAACUUUUUCAAAAUGCGGUAGAAUAAAAAUUUGUCAGAUCAGGCUGCUUAAAAACCAGGCCUCUAGUAUUCUAAUUUAGUUCGAAGAAAAUAAUUAUACUUUUUGAUCGAUGUAUAACGAUAGUCUGAUCGAAAUGUUUCAAGGGUGAAGUCAAAAUUGUAAAGAGAACAAACCCUAUUUACGGUUGUUUGCGGGUAUAAGAGUGGACAUGGAACCCUUAAAAAACUUGCACUGCGCAGGAAGGCCAGGAAUCCGACUCCCAGGAAGGCUCGCUCUUAUACUUUGCGAGAAAUCUUUCAUACGGACAGACGCACUUUACAAAAAACGGUUAUGAUCCAAACCAAAUCAGACUGCUUAAAAAAUAUAAAAUUAAUUUCAAAUGUGCCAGCUAUAACAAUAAUAGAUCUUAAUAAUGACAGCAAUUAGGCGACUUCCUCGAAGAAUUUCUUAAACAGGAAACGAAUUCUCUGAAAGGUCCAAAAUACCGUACAACAUUCAAGGAACUAAAUGGUGCAUACAGCUGUUAACUUGGGUUUCUGGAAAGGAGCACAAUAGAUAUACUACUUAAAAAAUAAGUAGAGUUUAGAGAAUGUGCCUUGUAGCACCUUGUUGGGCCCCAUUUCAGUUUGUAAAGUCAAAAAUGUACAUAACUCAUGGCUUUUAAAAAUAUGUUUUUCGCUUCGACUGCCAUUUUAAUCAGUGUUAACCAAGCGAUUAGAUUAUUAUAGCCACAGACAAAUUUAAACGGCUGUUUUCAUAUGUUUUGACGAAAUAACAAACCAGGAAUCCGUUUGCCUUUUAGUGCAGUUUAAAAACGGUUUUAGCUUCGGCGCAGUUUUCAAAAUAUAUAAGUUUUUCAACAAAUA